GACGAACGCUGGCGGCGUGCCUAAUACAUGCAAGUAGAACGCAGUUGCGCACGGGUGAGUAACGCGUAGGUAACUGUCUCAUAGCGGGGGAUAACUAUUGGAAACGAUAGCUAAUACCGCAUACUGUGAGAUGGACCUGCGUUGUAUUAGAUAGUUGGUGGGGUAAAGGCUCACCAAGGCGACGAGACAUAGCCGGCCUGAGAGGGGGAUCGGCCACACUGGGACGGGGACACGGCGCAGACUCCUACGGGAGGGAGCAGUAGGGGAACUUCGGCAAUGGACGGAAGUCUGACCGAGCAACGCCGCGUGAGUGAAGAAGGUUUUCGGGUCGGAAAGGUCUGUUGUGAGAGAAGCGGUAACUAAACAGCAAGGGCCGGCUAACUACGUGCGAGCCGCCGCGGUAAUUC
rnacentral:rRNA from 1 species